UUUUGUGUGUUUUCCAUAUGUGUAUAUUGCUACAUGGGCUAUGUUUAAAAUGGAAAUAAAUGAAUAUAAUAUUGUAUUAUCUUUCUGUGUGUUUUACAUAUGUGUAUAAUACCACAUGGACAUGAACUUGGGCAAACUCUGGGAGAUGGUGAGGCACAGAGAAGCUUGGCUUGCUGCAGUCCAUGGGGUCAUCAAGAAUCAGACAUGACUUGGCGACUGGACAACAUAAUAAAAUAUUUUAAGCUAAAUUCUAAACUAUGAUGAAGAAGGGAGAGAUUAUUGCCUGCAAUUACUAGAACAGUGAUGAGCUCACAGAAGAUGCUUUAUUAAUGCUAUUAAUUACCGAACGCUUGUGCAUACCACUCCAGUAUUCUUGCCCGGAGAAUUCUAUGGACAGAGGAGCCUGGACUGCAGUCCAUGGGGUCACAAAGAGUCAGACAUGACCGAGUGACUAACACACACUCAGUUGACUUCCGAUGGGCAUCAUACUUCGGCCGUAUUUUCACUGGGCAUCAGCAUUCCUGUUUUAUCGUGGGAUGUCUCCUCUGCUUUCAUUCCGCAGAUGGAGACAGAAGCCUCAUGCAACCAUCCUUCCUUCCUUCCUCUCUGUCCAGACACAGAUGAUGAAGGAUGCUCUGCAGAGGCAGAGACCUUGUUGGCCCUGGUGCCCUGGUUUAGUGUUUGGCACAGAGUAGGUGUUCAAUAUGUGUUGAAUGCUUUGCUCUGUCUAAAGGCAAAAAUAAUGCUAAUCCUGCCACCUUCCACCUAUGUUAGGAUCUAAUUUUGACCCUUAUGUUUGUCCAGGGCUUUUCAUCCUUUGAUUAAAAGGAAUAAUGCAAAUUAAUUUUCAGGUAUGAUAAUAGUCAUCAUUGUAUAUCUGACUUUUCCCCUGGAUCUUCCCAGACACCACCCGUGCUCACAUCUUGCUUGUGUUAUUUGUGCAAUGCCCAGGGGGCAGGAAUGCAGCGAACUUUCUGGCUGCUAUAGCAGCAGCAUGGGGAAUUAAAAUGUCUUGCUCUGGGAAUGCCAGUUAGUUUCCUGGCAAAUCCCUCUGGUGCGGUUUGAAAGUCUCUUGCUGGAUGGUGUAGACACCCUGGAAUUCUGCUGCUCUGCAUCCAUUCAGUAUUCCCUCCACUGUGUCUCACCCUCAGGAUUGGCUUGGAGCAAAAUAGGAUAGUGAUGAGUGAUGGGUCCCUAAGAUGACUGAGCCCCCCCCGAGACUUGGGUUUUGUCUUAGGUGGUGUUGUCUAGAUCAUUUCCAUAAUGCCUGUGAAACUCGUGGGACAGCUGUCCCA
ensembl:lncRNA